rnacentral:snRNA from 1 species
UUCACCAAGUGUUGGAUUGUU